UUCAUCUCUAGAGCCCUUAAUGGCAGGAACUCUUGGAGCCAGAGUAAUGCUAUAUCUCUGAUUAAGAGACAAAACCAUCAAAAGAACAGCAGACUCCUAAUGCAGCAUUGCCUUUAUGCUCAGCAAUAAAUCCAGGUACGGAAGAAGGCUGCAGCUGAGAAAUAUUUCUCUUCAUAAAAACUGAAGUUCAGCGACUUCAAAGAACGAAGCAAAACAGCAUGAUUUGCUAUUAAAAGGCCUUUAUGGAUCUCAAGAAAUUCUCCUUGAAUCAGGACUUACCCUUAAGAUAACAACAUAUCUGCAAUCAAGCACCCUGCAGGAGAUGGUUUGAAAAAUUGACUCCACAGAGGAAUCGUGGAAACUUUUGCCCCCCCUCCCCAUUCACUUAUCAGCUAGGACAAGAACUAAAGCUGUGCCUAACGAUUUCCUUAUGGGUACCCAACAGAAGAAUUAUGGGCUGCUAGCAGUGUCCUCUGGCAUUGGAGCAACAGUCUGAACUGCUGGAAGAUUUUUGCUGGUAGCACCAUUCACAAAACUGGAGGAGGAGGACGAUGAUGUGGAGGCAGAAUCUGUUGCACCUGCAGCCAAAUUAUAGCCUACUAUACAGCCUGGUGCACAACAGGGCUCUGGGCAGCACCAUGCCAGUCGGGUAUGAGGAUGCUGACACAAGCCAGGACACGGUAUGGAUUUUUACAAAAAUCAUGAAAACAAUGUGGCACGCUUUCAAACAGUGACAGAACAAUGCAGCACGAUGCUGCAGACAUCGUGGAAACGAGGCAGGUAUCAUGGAUGCUGGAUGCUCUGACAUAAGAGCGACAAGCAGCUGGAGAACAUCGUGGAUAUUUUCAUCCUGCAGACAAUGAAGAAGCGACAGGAGAAUUACCUCA